GUUCAGAUAUCUCCCUAUGAAAGAGACAGAUAAGGAGAAGUGAAACCGAUAUGGAGAUUACAGUCGAUGCAAGGAGAGAAGUAAAAGCCAGCAGAUAGUGAUGCUGUGCCUUUCUCCCUCCCUCUAAACCCUCCAGGCUCUUCACCAUCAUACGAAGAGACAAUGAUGAACUCAAGAAGCCUAUUUAUAGCCUGCCAUUGGCUAACACUAGCCCUCUGUUUCUGCUCUGUGGACAUCCGCCUUGGCUAGUUGUAGAGUAUGUGUACAUGUGAUUAGGCUCAUAACAGAGAGGGAAACAAGAGGAAGAGAGGGGUGGAGUGACAGCUACUCAAUGGAUUAAUCCAGAGGAAGAGCACAGACUGAGAGGGAAAGCAUGAUAAGAGGCAAUGACGGAACUGGGCUGUGGUCCAUCCAUCAGUGUGUGGAGGAGUAGUGAUUGCUCUUGAAGUCUCAUGGAGGAAUUUGGUCCUUUUUUAAAAAAUAUCACCUGACUUAAAUCCAGCACUUCUUUGCUAAUGAUCUUGCUUUUGGCAACAUUUCUUGCAGAAGCCUUGCCAGUUAUCAGGUGAGGAGGAAGAGAUCUCAGAGCAGUGACUGUCAACAACCAUGAGCAGCGGAGUGAAUAUCAAAGUCAUAUCUCGGAGGCAGAGUGACGCAGGUGUCAGCUCCAGUCUGCCGUCACCUCGAAGCACGAUGUCGGUCUCAAAGGCAGAUCCCAAAGAGCAAUACGGUGGCCUCCCUAAUCCCACAAUGCAGUAUCAGCACAGCGCAAAACGACGGCCUACAUAUUCUUCACUGUCUGCUUCUUCAGGCACUGCAGAGCGGCUGAGAGGUGCCGCUUUAAAGAACAACCUGCUGCACCAAAAGACUAGCAUGUAUUCACAGAGAAGCUCAGCAGCUGCAGCACGAACUGAUGGAACCUGCUCAGCUUACAGCAGCCCUCAGAUACCAAAGAGGGAAAUUCCACGCUCUAAAGACACAUCAGACAUCUGCAGCGACACAAUAACCCAGAAAGCUUUGAGAGACCUUCAGUUAAGAAGAAACACUAACAAGAACUGGACCUUUGGAAAGUAUCGUCAGAGGAGUGUGGACAAUGCACAAGAGGGUAACACUUUGCGACACCGCCCACCAAAUCCUCAGGUAGGCUACGGAAGAGGACGUCUUCUUUAUAGUAAAAAUGCAAAUGGCAAUGAGAUACCAGGGGUAUCUUCAGCUGGAAUAGAGAACUUCCAAAAAGAAGUGAGGAACAUCUCCAACCAUGACCUGGAAGCUUCUGACAGGGAGCUUUUCAACAAAUCAAAGUCUUCCCAUCAAACAUUCAACCUGGCACGCAGAGGGAGUGAGCCAGGAAAGGUCAACAUGGCUGCUGUUGCUCCAUUUAGAUUCAGGUUUAAGAUUCACGAGGAUACAGAUACCUCUCUGGAUGAUCUCAGUGACUGCUCCUCUGACUCCAUGGAGGUCUGUUGUGAUGAUCUAGGUGAGUCUUUUUGAAAUUCUUUCCAUUAUUCUUUCUAGUGUGGGAACACUGGACACAUCUGUUGUUAUAAAGCAUUUGUUCUUAAUGUGAGAUCUUGCACCUCUAAGGAGUUACCAAAUAACUUUGGAGGGUCAUAGACUUUGGAAUUUCU
ensembl:lncRNA